rnacentral:piRNA from 2 species
UUGGAGCCUGGUUGCCACAUGAAAUAUA